rnacentral:piRNA from 1 species
UCUGGGAGAAUCUUUCAUUGGAUUUGAAGC